GAACAAGGUUUCCCGUAGGUGAACCUCGCGGAAGGAUCAUUAUUGAAAUAAACCUGAUGGGUUGUUGCUGGUUCUCUAGGGAGCAUGUGCACACCUUGUCAUCUUUAUAUCUCCACCUGUGCACUUUUUGUAGACCUUUCAGGUCUAUGUUGCUUUAUUUACCCCAAUGUAUGUUAAUAGAAUGUUGUGCCUAUAUAAUAUAUACAACUUUCAGCAACGGAUCUCUUGGCUCUCGCAUCGAUGAAGAACGCAGCGAAAUGCGAUAAGUAAUGUGAAUUGCAGAAUUCAGUGAAUCAUCGAAUCUUUGAACGCACCUUGCGCUCCUUGGUAUUCCGAGGAGCAUGCCUGUUUGAGUGUCAUUAAUAUAUCAACCUUCUCUUUUUUGAGUUGNUUGGAUGUGGGGGUUUGCUGGCAUCUUAAAUGAUUCAGCUCCCCUGAAAUGCAUUAGCAGAACAACCUGUUCAUUGGCGUGAUAAUUAUCUAUGCUAUUGAAUGUGAGGGCAGUUCAGCUUUCUAACCGUCCUCGGACAAUUCAUCAUUAAUGUGACCUCAAAUCAGGUAGGACUACCCGCUGAACUUAAGCAUAUCAAUAAG
rnacentral:rRNA from 1 species